rnacentral:snRNA from 1 species
GAAUGUGAAGGCAGUCUGGCCAAGACAUGUCACCUCAACAGCCAGGGUUGAUUUGGCUGGUCUGGCUGGCUAGGUGCCUGUCCAGCUUCCUCCCUCACUGAUCCAUGGUGGUCCCUCCCAAAGCUGCUGGCUUCGUUGGUAGAAGGGAACCAACCAAACUAUACCCUUCUUAUACCUUUUGGUCAGGGAGUUCUACUCCUUUGCUAGAGCCUCCAAAAAGUUCUCAGAGAAGUAUAAACACACACACACAACACCACAACGU